GAAAAAAAAAACCUAAAGCCCUUUUCUUUCUAAAAAAAAUAAAGACUUUAUUUUUAAGAGCAGUUUUAGGUUCACAGCAAUAUUGAGCAGAAGGUACAGGAAGUUCCCGUAUACUCCCUGCUCCCACGCAUGCACAGCCUCCCCCAUUAUUCACAUCCCCACCAGAGUGGUGCAUUUGUUACUGCUGAUGAACCUACAUUGAUACAUCAUUAUCACUCAGAGUCGAGUUUACAUUAGGGUUCACUCUUGGUGUUGUACAUUCUAUGGGUUUGGAUAAAUGUGUAGUGACAUGUAUCCACCAUUCAAGUUAUCAUGCAGGGUAGUUUCAUUGCCCCCCCAAAUCCUCUGUGCUCUGCCUGUUCAUUGCCCCACCCACCCCCAAACCCCCAACAAUCACUGAUCGUUUUGCUGUCGUCAUAGUUUUGCCUUUUCCAAAAUGUCAUAUAGUUGGAAUAGGACAGUAUAUAGCCCUUUGAGAUUGGUAUCUUUCAUUUAGUAAUAUGCAUUUGAAGUUUCUUCAUAUCUUUUCAUGGUUUGAAGGUUAAUUUAUUUUUAGUGUUAAAUAAUAUUCCAUUGUCUGGAUGUACCAUAGUUUAUUUAUCCAUUCACCUACUGAAGGACAUCUUGGUUGCUUCUAAGUUUUGGCAAUUAUGAAUAAAUCUGCUAUAACAUUUGUGUGCAGGUUUUGGUGUGGACAUAAGUUUUCAGUUUCUUUGGGUAAAUACCAAGGAGAAGGAUUGCUGGAUCAUGUAAGAAUACAUUUAGUUUUGUAAGAAGCCAUCAAACUGUCUUCCAAAGUGGUUAUAUCCCUUUGCAUUCCUGCCAGCAACAAAUGAGAGUUCCUGUUGCUCCACAUCCUCUUCAGCAUUUCGGUUUGUAAGUGUUCCAGAUUUUGGUCAUUUUAAUAGGCUGUACCAGCAUGGCUCCAUCAUCUGCUUCUGGCACAGGCUUCAGGAAGCUUAUAAUCAUGGCAGAAGGCAAAGAAGAACAGGUGUGUCACAUGGCAAGAGUGGGUUCCAGACAUGGGAGGAAAUACCACAUGAUUUUAAACAACCAGAUUUCAUGUGAACUCAGAGCAAGAACUCACUCAUCACCAAGGGGAUGGCACUAAGCCCUUCAUGAGGGAUCCACCCCCAUGAUCCAAUCACCUCUCACCAGGCCACACCUCCAACACCGGGAAUCAAAUUUCAACAUGAGAUUUGGAGGAAAUAACAUCCAAAACAUAUCAACUUGUGUCCUUAUAAGAAGAAGAGGCAACAAAGGACAUGAACUCAUCAUUUUUUAUGGCUGCAUAGUAUU
rnacentral:lncRNA from 10 species